rnacentral:rRNA from 2 species
CGUAACUAUAACGGUCCUAAGGUAGCGAAAUUCCUUGUCGGGUAAGUUCCGACCUGCACGAAUGGCGUAAUGAUGGCCAGGCUGUCUCCACCCGAGACUCAGUGAAAUUGAACUCGCUGUGAAGAUGCAGUGUACCCGCGGCAAGACGGAAAGACCCCGUGAACCUUUACUAUAGCUUGACACUGAACAUUGAGCCUUGAUGUGUAGGAUAGGUGGGAGGCUUUGAAGCGUGGACGCCAGUCUGCGUGGAGCCGACCUUGAAAUACCACCCUUUAAUGUUU